rnacentral:rRNA from 1 species
UACGGGGGGGAACAAGCGUUGUUCGGAUUUACUGGGCGUAAAGGGCGCGUAGGCGGUCAGCACAAGUCAGUUGUGAAAUCUCCGAGCUUAACUCGGAAAGGUCAACUGAUACUGUGCGACUAGAGUGCAGAAGGGGCAACUGGAAUUCCUGGUGUAGCGGUGAAAUGCGCAGAUAUCAGGAGGAACACCGAUGGCGAAGGCAGGUCUCUGGGCAUUAACUGACGCUGAGGAGCGAAAGCAUGGGGAGCGAACAGG